UGGUCAUCGCAGGAACUUCACUCGAACUAGUAGGGUUGUGAGCCUGUGGUUUGGAGCAGAGAAGAUGCACUUCCCCAUGAGAAAAAGGUAGCCAUUCCUGUGGGACUCGACAGGUGGGAAAACUGGUCCUUAGCUUUCCCUUCCUCUCACCACUUUCCUCACCUGGGGACUCUGCAGCAAGCACAGUGCCUCCAUACCAUUCUCUGUAGAGACACCCAGACAUAAGCAGCCUGUUUGAAGGGCCGAGAAGACCUAUGGUAGAAUAACUUUCUCUCCCAGGAUGGAUUUUCCACAUGUUAUCCACGUGUAUCCAGGUCUCUGGAGUGGAAUAAUCACAGCCUUUGCUUGAAGAAUUCCCUGCCUGUCAGACCCCGAAGGCUCAAGUCUGUGGACAGAAGAUGUGUGAAUACUGAGCUAAAACAGAGUAUAGGCAAGAGUUUUGUCUGUUCACCACUGGGAUUUAAGAACUUAAAGGCCAAGAACUGGCCUCAAAAGCAAAGGAGUGGUGAUCAUUUUGUAAUGUAUAAAAAUAUCGAAUCACUAUGUUUUGCACCUGUAAAAAAAGAAAAAAGACGAGGCGAAGUCAAUAUAUGCUUUAAAAAUAUAUAUAAAAUACACAGAUAUACACACACACUUAUGCAUGUGUGCUAAGUUGCUUCAGUGGUGUCUGAUUAUUUGUGACCCUAUGGACUGUAGCUGGAGAAGGCAAUGGCACCCCACUCCAGUAC
ensembl:lncRNA